AACCUUCCCAAUGCCCGAAAGGGUGACGGGGGGAUCCCGAGUGCUGGCGUCAUGCGUUGGCUUUUCUUGAGUGUAAGCAGCUUGAGGAAUAAGGAGAGGGCAAGACCGGUGCCAGCCGCCGCGGUAACACCGGCUCUUCAAAUGGUGGCCACUUUUAUUGGGCUUAAAGCGUUCGUAGCUGGAUUUGUAAGUUUCUGGCGAAAUUCUGUCGCUUAACGAUAAAACUUGCUGGAAAUACUGCUUAUCUUGAGACCGGGAGAGGCUAGAGGUACUCCUAGGGUAGGGGUGAAAUCCGUUAAUCCUAGGGGGACCACCUGUGGUGAAAACGUCUAGCUGGAACGGGUCUGACAGUGAGGAACAAAACCCAGGGGAGCAAACCGGAUUAGAUACCCGGGUAG
rnacentral:rRNA from 1 species